UAGGGAAUAUUGCACAAUGGGCGAAAGCCUGAUGCAGCAACGCCGCGUGCGCGAUGAAGGUCUUCGGAUCGUAAAGCGCUUUUCUGGGAGAUGAGAAAGGACAGUAUCCCAGGAAUAAGUCUCGGCUAACUACGUGCC
rnacentral:rRNA from 1 species